rnacentral:rRNA from 1 species
ACUCCGGAACUGCCAUUGAAACUGUGAAACUUGAGGACGAGAGAGGUGAGUGGAAUUCCCAGUGUAGAGGUGAAAUUCGUAGAUAUUGGGAAGAACACCGGCGGCGAAGGCGGCUCACUGGCUCGUUUCUGACGCUCAGGCGCGACAGCGUGGGGAUCAAACAGGAUUAGAUACCCUGGUAGUCCACGCCGUAAACGAUGAACGCUAGCCGUUGGAUAGCUUGCUAUUCAGUGGCGCAGCUAACGCAUUAAGCGUUCCGCCUGGGGAGUACGGCCGCAAGGUUGAAACUCAAAGGAAUUGACGGGGGCCCGCACAAGCGGUGGAGCAUGUGGUUUAAUUCGACGCAACGCGCAGAACCUUACCAGGGUUUGACAUCCUGAGACCGCUCCUUAAUGGGAGUUUUCCCGCAAGGGACUCAGAGACAGGUGCUG